UUUUGGGGUAUUUUGUGGAAAUAUCGCAAAAGUAGAGGCCGCGUCCAGUACUCCAGUGAGUUAGAUGUUAGCCGUUGGAUCGAGUUGUGCUGCGUUGCGCUGCGCCGUCCAUUCAUCCCCCACGCCUUCGACCAAUCCGCCGCCGCCUCGUCGGCGCUUCCACCGCUUCUCUCGCCGGAGAGAUGGCCGCCGCCGCGACGCCCCCCUCCCUUCGUCUGCUUCAAGUGGCCAUGGCCUUGCGGCGACCUCGAGCUUCCCUGGCUCUUCAAGUCCAUCCGCACAUUGGCGCAGGGCCGCCUCGUCGCCGGGGACCUCCCCUCCCCCUCGUCGGACGGAGGAGGCGGCGGUGGGGGUGAGGAGGAGGAGGAGGAUCCCCGGGUUGGCGGCGGAGGUGGAGCAGCGGGCGCUGGCGGGCGGCAGGGACGCGGCCGUGCUGGAGUUCUACUCCCCGUGGCUCCGCCUGUGCGCGUCGCUGCAGGGGCUCGUGCGAGAGCUCGAGGACGGCGCCGGCGGGUGGACCGGCUUCGCGAUCGCCGACGCCGAGGACGACCGGUGGCUCGCCGAGCUAGCAUCAUGUCAACCAUUGUGUGAGCAGUGUUGGGGCAGGGGUGUCGCAGCUCAUUGGGUUAGUGCAGCAGGAAGUGUUAAGCCAGAGCCGCUGGAGAUGGGAGGAGGAAGGCAGGGUGCGGGCGAGGCGCAAAGGAGAUGCUCAUUGGUGGGGAGAAUGGGAGGAACUCAGAUCAAGUGGUCAUGGAAGGAAAGGGCUGUAAAGGCUGGGUGCUGAUUGACUUGAUGGUGAACACAUGGUGGAGGAUGUGCGUCCCCAACAACUCCAGCCUCCAGUUUUUCAACAUUGUCGAUCACGCCAAGACAGCCAUUGAUGCAAGGUUUGCCUCCCCGCAACUCGUCGUGCUCUCCACCCUGCGGAGCGCUCUUCGCCAAGUGCGCCAAAAAGCUGUUCAUGCUCUUCAUCUCCUCCUUGAUGAACUGCACGUCGUCCCGGACGCCACCGAGAAGAGCCGCCUCGUUGCGGAUGAUCGCCAGCAGUGAGCUCACGGCGCCAGACGCGAGCUCAGUCAUGGCCCCCCUUUUUUUUUUUAACUAGGGAAUGAAAGCCCAAGCUGAAACUAAACAAAGGACAAAAAAAAGACCGAAACCGAAAUUACGAUCAAACAGGACCUAUGUCCAGAAGUGACCCAGCAAAGCUAUCCUCAACACAAACGUGAUCAAGCCAGCAGAAAGAAGUGACUGCUGAAGCCCAAAACUCUCCAGAUGACCAAGGUUUCCAUCAAGCUUCUAUUCUUCUGGUGCCAGCCCUCCAUCCAAAUCUUGAGCUUCUAGUCUUCUGGUGAUAGCUCUCCAUCCAAAUCUUGAGAUGUAUUUCACUUGCCACCUGCCUUGUAAAUGGCCCCCAACUGAUGGCUUCAAUUAUUGGUCUUGCUGCCUCGCGGGGGAAGGCUAACUCGCUGGGGUGGUGCCGUAUGGUGGUGGGAUGUGAAUAUAUACUGCCAGCCUCUGAUUUUCGCAAUUAAUUAUCGGAAAAGCUA